rnacentral:tRNA from 1 species
GCAUUCGUGAUGUAACGGUAGCACACUCGGUUCGUAUUUGAGAGCUCCAGGUUUGAAUCCCGGCGAGAGCA